CCUGCACAUAGCAGAGGGGUUGAAACCAGAUGAUCAUUGUGGUCUUUUUCAACCCAGACCUUUCUAUGAUUCUGUGAUCAUUAAUUUAUACAUUACCUUGAGAAUAAGUCAUUUUCCAACCUACUCUCAAGCAACCUGUACAGAAUAUAUAAUCUACCUUUAUUCAUCACACAUAUACAUGCUGAUAUUCUGGUUUUAUGAAAUGAGUCAUCAGCAGGCUCCAAAACUCUUUUCCUUUUGAGAUGUCUCUUCUCCCCAUCACGAUUGGCUCAGAUCCUUUGUAAACUUUAUCUAAACAGCGUCCUUCAACUUCCUUGUUUUUCUAGGCAGCAUAACAAGCCCAACCCUUCAGUAAAGUCAGCAGAUUUCAAGUACCACGGAGAUGGUGUCAGCUAACCAGCCCAUAUAUCAUGAGACCAACAUAUGCGGUCAAAGAAGUUGAAAAUCUGACAGUGCUUCUGCAGACCAUGCCAAGAACAGAGCCUUACUCUGUGGAAGGUUACACAAGCUGUGAUGUAUCUGAAGAAAAUCAGGAGCAACAGAAACCCCACUAGGACACGUCAGUCCCAGUUCUUUCCAGUGCUGAUGAUUGUUAUGGUGAGGUGCAGCAUUUACGCCAGAACUGAUGUCACAUUUAAUCUCCUGGCUGUAGCAAAGUGAGGCAUCAUAAGCUUUGGUACAUGAAGGCUGAAGAAAGCUUGGACUAGAAAUAAAUAUUAAAUACGUAACUGUGAUGAUAAUUGAAGGUAAUUAACUGUGAAGGUAAUUAACGUGGAGAUAUUUUACUAAGGGCUGCAAUGAAUUCUCCAUUAAUGGACUUCUGUAAAUUCAGGUCAGAUUCCUCCCUCCUUCUCCUCUUUCCUAAUUGUGCACCUUUGGUCAACACAGAAUAAGUUCAGAAAUACUGUUUAAAGACUUUAUGAUGCAGAAAGUCAGAAUAGAUGAGUACAGAGUCUCCUCGCGGCGAACCAGUGAACUAUAUAUGAACCAGAUGAGGAUGCAGAUCCUAACACAAUAUUUUCUAGCCCUUGCGCAUUCAUGCUGGUUGGACACAGGCUGUCUUGGAUUUGUAUGCCCAAGUUUGGGUGAAAUUUCACUUGGGCUUGCACAGAGGCAUUAAUAUCGCCCUGUCUUCACCAGAAAUCCCUGAAUACAUGCCUAAAUAGCAAACAUUGGGCACAGGAAUGGUGACUCUCUGCCAGAAGUUCUGUGUAAAAGCACUCACAGCAGGAAAGCUUAAGAGUAUUCUGAUUUAAUUUAGAACUCAAACAUAGUUUUUCUUAAUUAAUAAAAAUAACUCUCUUUGUUUCCAGAAUCUGACCCUGGACGCCCUCCCAUCCCAUAAAAGAAACCAAAAGACUUACCCAAUUGGUUAAAAAAGCAAUAAUGGUGGAAGCUAACCAAUACCAACUUACAAUGAUUUUUGCCAUGCACGUUUCAUUGCCUUCACACAAAUACCCUAUGGCUUUUGCAGCUGUGAAUGCAUUGUGAACAAACAGGGGGCUUAGUGUUCCUACCAUAAGCUGCACAUCUCAGUUGCUAUGUGGGUGUGAAUCAAUACAACACUUAGCAGCCAUCCAGCACUUGCUGCAUAACUCUGAAACACACAGUGCACAUGCAGUGCAGCUCAGGUGCAUGGCACAGUCCUGUCCUCCAGAAAAAAACUGGGUCUGGAACACUGGUUCUCCAGGUUAAAGAUCUGUCGUGAGUCAACAGCAUGAGCUGUCAAGGCAGAGGAACUUCCUGAGAAGUGAAAUUGCUGUUUGCGUAUUGCUCAGCACGUCACACCCAGUACACGUUACUGUGAAGACGGCGUGUGAGCAGGAGAUCACAUUGCAAGGGGUAAGGAGGUGCUCGUGGAAAACAAGGUAAGGAGGUCAGGAGAACAGCUAAGCAAGCUCGCUUUGUUUGUGGUCCAAGGGAUCCUACAACAAGCCCUACUUGCAUGCCAAGUGGGCUGGAGAGAGAAUCACUGAAUCACAGAUGAAUUACAGGGGAUGGAAGGGAACUCAAGAGAUAAUGGAGUCUGACCCCGCUGCUAAAGUGGGUUGCACAGGUAGGCAUCCAGACAGGUAGUGAAUAUCUCCAUAGAAGGAGAUUAUACAGCCUCUCUGGGCAACCUGUGCCAGGCUCUGACACCCUUACCACAAAGAAGUUCUUCCACAUGUUUGCGUGGGACUUCCUGCAUUCAGGUUUUAGACCAUUGCUCCUUGUCCUAGUAUGUCCCUAUCCCGCACUGAUGCCCAGGAUUGUUCCCUUUCCCUGCCCAAUGCACAGUUUAAUGCCUCCCACACAACAGUUGAAGGUGCAUUCUGGCUCAUCACCCAAGAUCAGGGAUAUCAAAUAAUAAUGACCCCUUGCAUCACCCUGCUUGUCACGCUCUGUCACUUGGUGUCAAGCCAUUGAUUGCUUAGUUUUGAGUCCAGAAGGUCAGAGGGCCACCAAUCUGCACAUGCAGUGUAUUAUGAAUUCAACAGUGCAUUAAUGCACAUCCCAUAGCAGAGAAGAAUUACACAGGUCAACUCUUUUCCUGGAAUUAAGACUGAAGUGAAGGAAAACGUAUAUUGUGCCUUUCUUUUGACAUGUGCUCUUCACAUAUUCACCACUAGAGUGAAUUAGUGUGACUGUCCCUCAAGAAACAGUCUGUCACUGCUCAUAAAUGCUCACGUCAACACUAUCCUCCCCCAAACUCCUUCAGCACUGAAACUGUGUAGUCAAGCUCAAAAGGUAAGUAACGCUGAUGUUAGAGUGUUCAGAUCAGGUGUUUAUAUGACAGCGCCUAUGGCAUGAUUGAGAAAAUCACCUCUAUUGCUGGGCUAGGAAUUGAAAGAGCACAAGAGCAGACAGUAGAGGAAAGUAAAUCUUUCUGUGCCUAUAGCACAGGUAAGAUGCUCAGCAGACUUCAAUGUGUUUCAGAAUAGAGCAUUGGGAAUUCCAUGUGAAAGAAUCAGGUGGCUGAUGAGAGUUUUCACUCAUCACCUGGGGUGUUAGAUUGCGGCCCUGAUUGCAAGCACACGCACCUCUGAUCAUUUCUGUGUCAGAGAAAAAUUAAACCAAUGCAUCAGAUUAGCUCCAGACAGUAUUCAGCAUCAUCUGCAUUAGCAGCAAAUGCUGGCAGCCUACAUGCUGAAUUCGCCCUGCAUGAUUGAGCCCACAGGUUACAACUGUCUUAUAAAAGCAUCUGCUGAUAAUAGAGGCAUUAAUAUUGGAUUCCUGCUUUGUCUCCUACAGGAACUUUACGCUUUCCCUACGUACGUUACAAAUAUCUUUAAUACCCACAGCCUCAUACGGAAAAGUUUUGCUUAUAUGGCGCAGCCAUCAAUAAAACUGAUUAGAUGCGCCAUGCCUGCAGCAACCACCUCCAUUUCUGACAAUAGCAGCUCCCUUCUGCAGAGAGCACUCAUCAUUCUGCCCUUCUAGGACAGGAAAGAAGAGGAGAACUGAAGCUUCGUGACUCAUUUGUAGGAGGCAAUACUCAUCUGAGCAGCGGAGCCUUGCAGGGUCUCCUUGCACAGCGAUGUCAGUGUGCCCUGUGCUGCUCAGGCACUCAAGUCAGCCUGCUGGCCUGGGGCUGGCAUCCAGGUGAGAAGAAACUCUAUGUUAGUGUGAUGCCAGUCUCCUGGCCGAUACAGACUGGGCUGUCUGCAACUGUGUUGUCUUUUGGCCUUACAGCUCUGCAGUAAAGCCUGUUGGGUCCUCCUGGCCUAUCUAUAGUCCAGUUACAUACUUUCCUUAAAUUCCAACACAACAUGUUUAAAUCUGAAGCAUUUCCAGCCAGAAGCUUCAGAAAAGAAGCUUCAAAAUAGCAGAGACAUGAAAACUCUGCAAAUACUGCUCCAGUACAGGAGAAGAGAGUACAAAGAAAACUGGCCAUGGUGUAUUUCAAGCUCAAAAUCCAUCAGUAAGAGGAUUAUAUUAAUAUAUAUAUAUACAUCACUAUCUAAUGAAGUGAUUUUCUCUCUGGCAAGCAAUCAUACAAUAGGUCCUCACCUGGUGACAGCAGUAAGGCACCUGCCUUGUUUGCCAUCAUAAUGGCAUUUCAAAGAAGCUAUUCAUCCAACCCUAAGCCCACAGAAACUAAACUAAACAAUUAAAAAGACACAACCCAGCCAACUGCAUCUUACUGCUGUGUCUUAAGCUCCCACACAGAGAUGCAUUUAAACAGUGCAUUGAGAUUAAAUGAAGAGGUGAAAAGCCCCUGCCCCAGGCUUUUCCUCCUCUUCUUUCUUCUGGAAGCAAUUCUGACAUAAAUCAAGGAAAUAACAGCUUUGCUACAUCUUUGCCAUGCAGACACGUAGCAUUUGAUGGGACAAAGGUCCAGUCUAGGAGUCUGUCCCAGUUACCAGCUGAGACACCAGCAGGAAAAUCACGUAGGUCCCAAAAACAUCCAAGGAAGAGCAAAGAAACAAGAGCAAUGGGGUGGAAAUGUGAAACAGGUGUGGAAGUCCCUUGUGCUUUGCCUUUUGGUUUUGUUUUUCUUGCCGUAACUGUUUCCCUAACCCCUUUACUCCCACACAUUUCUCAAUGUGUAAUUUUAAUCAUGAACACAAAUCUCAACAGGCUUUAGGGCAAAGAGCUGGGCUGAAACGCUAAUAUAAGGCAAAGGGAUGCUGACAGAUGAAAGCAGCCUGCAAUGAAGACAGAGGCAUAGAGGUGCGCUUGGGAGACCUGGCCGCUCCAGGAUGCUCACUGCCUUUUUAAGAGCACAAAAUGUAGAGUAUUUCAACGAACAGCCAGAAACUGGGGAAACAGUAAGUGAAAAGAACCUGCUUUUACUCUAUUCACUAAGCAGAAAGAGAGUAAAGUAGGCAGAUCCAAAGUGAAGCUUAGCUGUAUGGCAGAUUUCAAAUCCACUUGCUAUAAAACCCUACUGGAACUCACUCAAAACAUACAAGCAAGGAUUCCAAGUACAGAACAGCAAUAUUUUUCCUUCAGUGGAUUCCUGACCAACACGUGAAACACUGAAUUGGUAUCUCAUGCAAUCUUGAUGUUUCACCAUCGCCACAAGUGACUCAUAGCAAUUUUCUUAUCUCCUCUUUGUGUUCUCCGGUGUUACAGAGGAUAUUCUGUACUUCCUGCAGCCUCAUCCACCCUUCUGAUAAGAACGCCAGGUGUCACACAUAGACCUCUCAGGACAAGGGAAAGAAAAGUGAAUAAAUAAGACUACAGGGAGGAGGAAGAGAAGGAAAAGCACUUUUUUCCUUGUCGUGACAUCAGGCAGACAAUGGGAGCAGAUGCCUUAUGCUUUCACGCUGCCGUGUGCACUCUCUCAGACUGGUGGCUGCUCCUUCGGUGUGCAUGUACACGGCACAAAUGGCACAUUGCUCCCCUAACACCUGCAGCAAAGAUUCCUCAAGCUCCCUUCAGCACAAAGUCUCCAGGUCUUUGCCACAAAGCAAACACACAGCUUUCUUCCCUUUCCCUCCUGCCUGCACUGAAAGGGAAAAUGCUGACUUCAGAGCAGUGAGCCCUGAGCAGCACUCUGCUCCUACAGCAGCCUGUAGCUACCAGCUGCAUAGCCACAGGCCUCAUGUUGCUUGCUUCAUCCCGGUCACAGCGGGCUUUGCUGCUAAGAGGAUAACUUAAUGGUAAACCCUUCCUCACAGCAGAGGCACAGAAAGGCAGAGGGGAGUUCUGCACCACCCACAAUGCUGCUUCUGACCUCACAGAGGUCUUCUCAAGCACAGACACUGACAAGGCAUCCUUAACAUCUAAGAAACUAAUGUUGAAUGUUAAUGUUUAGUUAAGAAACUAAAUGGCCUCAUGUGGAGAGGUUCAGGUUGGAUAUUAGGAAACACUUCUCCUCACACAGAGCAGUGCUGCAGUGGCACAGGCUGCCCAGGGAGGUGGUGCAGUCACCGUCCCUGGAGGUGUUCAAGAACCGUGUGGACGUGGCACUGAGGGACGUGGGCAGUGGGCAUGGUUUGCUAGGCAAACGAUGUCCUAACGGCCUAAUAGCUUUCAUACAUGCCACUGAAUUAGUAAAAGCCUUGCACAGCGUCCCAUUAAGUUGAAAUAAAACACAGCCAUUUAAUUCAUUAUGACUAGCAGGGCAAGAGCCUCCUUCCCACCGCAGCACGCUCUGCUCACUCUGCCUAUACUGGAACUAAUUCCUUCAGUCUCAAGAGCCCAGAGAACUCAACUCAGAAAGCCACUAGGAAAAAAAAACACUGUUAAAUGCUGUUACUGGAGAUUGACGCAGCAAUUCCCAGCUGGCCAUUUUUGAUACACAAAGUAAUUUACCCAAGAAAAUAAAACCAGAUGCAUUUGUAUCAGGAACUUGUGCUUUCAGUGGAAAACAAUUCUACUUUUGUCUUUAUUAGAAUUAAACUCUUUAAGGCCUGAAUUCUCUAUACAUUAUUCAUGCCGUUACAUUUUAGAUCGGCAGAGAGGUAAUCCAUCAGCUCAUUAGCUCCAAAAUGUGUUUAACAAUACAUUUUGCUAAGCUCCCAUAGUAAGAAAAACAGAGAAACCUGGAGCUAUUAACAUCUUUUUAUCGUUUGUUAAGAACUAUCGAGUUAGGGCACUGGAACCAUUGCUUUAUCUCAAUUAACCAUGAUGAUAUAAUAACACCUUUGGAGAUUUGCUACCUGGGACUAUUCUCAUGAUGGUCGGCAAAUGGUCCUCCCUCAUUUCAUUGAGACUGUUGGGAUCUUUCUGAAACCACAUCCAGCCACAACAGGGCUUCCUUUCUGCAGAUGGCAGCCCCCACGUCAGCUUGGCACAGCUUUCCUUUAUCACAAGUGCGAGAUGCUUCCUUGCGCUGAUAGAGGAGCUAUGGAAAACAUGCUGGGCUGCAUGGAAAAGUUGAUUCUAUACACACUUGACAGCCAGCAGCAUAUCCAGCCAGUAACGUUACACUGAUCUGAAUAGUAAACCUUUAGGAUCAGGGUUUUAGGGCACCAGUUGCACACUCGAUUUGGACAGAGCAACAAAGUGCAGGGUGAGGCAGCAGCACACAGAUGCUUAUUGCUGGUGAGCUCAAACAUGAGACAUCUCCUUAUCAGACAGAAUGAAAGCACGGGCAAUUGUUAUGGCUGCAUUCAUUCAGUUCUGGUUUUCUGUUUUUUGACACACAAAACAAGUACAGAAAUGUGAAAUUCAAUCUCUCGGCAAGCUGCCACCUCACCUGUUGGUAACACAAAUGUUGGGCUUUUAAAACUAAGGGCACCAUAGCAGCGAAUCACUGGAAAACAGAAAGAUCCAAAUACUGCCUAUUUCAGCAGCAGGGGGAUGGAUUUUCAGAGGGAAAGGAACGUUCUGUUCUGCAAGGUACUGAACAGUGAGCAAGGCAGAAAAAGGAAGACCAUUAACUCUAGCAGCUCUUCCAUAGGUCAGCCUGCUUUUGUGGCUUCUUUAUUAAUCUCGACUGUUAGAAGACAAAACAAAACAUGUGGCAUCUUUGAUUUCUGUAUACGUUCCCACAAAUAAAAUUAAUUCUUUAAGUCAUUUUUCCUUACACUUCCCCUGACAGUUUCACGUUUCUUGUAUGCUCCAUUUGAUUCUGGUAUUCUCAGAUAACUUACACAGCCAGGAGUUAAAUAAUACCUUGAAAAUCAAGGGUAGAAUGAUGAGGCUCAAUAGACCAGUAGUAAGUACAAUAAACACUUGACAAAAGUACAAAGAUAACUGGGCUCUAGAACCAGCCCCUUUCUGAACAGUUCUAAAGCUCCUGUCUAAUCGAGUUCAUUCUGUGACAAACAAAAAUGGGAUUAGAUCAGCAUUACUAUUAUUAUAGCAGCC